CUUUGUUAGUUACGCAUGCGCUGUUGAAUAUUAAGUGUGUCCUUAUCGCAAUGGCGGAGUUAAGCCCUGGAAUUCAAUCUUCGUGAAAAAUAUUUCAGAAAAUUAAGCUAACUGAAGAAAGAGACGAAAAAAAAGCAAGACAUCUGAAGUUCAAAAAAGCAAUGAGUGAUGAAUUUAAGCAUUGGAAAAAAGUACCACUGGGAAGAGUGGAAAUAGAUGAUAAGAUAUGCUUUAAAGAUGGAGAUGGUAACCGGCGGUACGGAAAUGUCACAACAAAAACAAAUGAAAAGUUCCAUCUAAAAGAUACAGAUACAGGGACGGAACAUGAAACUAGAUACGGACUCAUGGUCCCAUGCUUCAAACGUUUUCCCGAUCUAAAUUACGAGCAGGAUCCUUCAUUUGAACCGUUCAUAAAAUAAUUAAGCAUGCAGAACAGAAAAAGAAAACAUACGAACAAUGUUUAAUACUAGAGUAAUUGUAUUAUCAACAGACAAAAAAAUAUGAAUAUGUAAGAACAUUUAUUUCUCUGAACAUAAAUGAACAUUUAUUUUGAAAUAAAGAUGGACAACAACAUGA